rnacentral:rRNA from 1 species
ACGGGAGGCAGCAGUGGGGAAUAUUGGACAAUGGGGGAAACCCUGAUCCAGCGACGCCGCGUGAGUGAAGAAGUAUUUCGGUAUGUAAAGCUCUAUCAGCAAGGAAGAAAAUGACGGUACUUGACUAAGAAGCUCCGGCUAAAUACGUGCCAGCAGCCGCGGUAAUACGUAUGGAGCAAGCGUUAUCCGGAUUUACUGGGUGUAAAGGGUGCGUAGACGGUUUGGCAAGUCAGAAGUGAAAUCCCGGGGCUUAACUCCGGUGCUGCUUUUGAAACUGUCAGACUAGAGUGCUGGAGGGGCAAGCGGAAUUCCUGGUGUAGCGGUGAAAUGCGUAGAUAUCAGGAGGAACACCGGUGGCGAAGGCGGCUUGCUGGACAGUAACUGACGUUGAGGCACGAAAGCGUGGGGAGCAAACAGGAUUAGAUACCCUGGUA